GCCUUGCCAGCCCGCUCAGAACUUAAAGGAAUUGACGGGGCCGCACAAGCGGUGGAGCAUGUGGUUUAAUUCGAUGCAACGCGAAGAACCUUACCUGGGCUUGACAUCUCUGGAAUCCCCUGGAAACAGGGGAGUGCCCUUCGGGGAGCCAGGAGACAGGUGCUGCAUGGCUGUCGUCAGCUCGUGUCGUGAGAUGUUGGGUUAAGUCCCGCAACGAGCGCAACCCUUGUCUUUAAUUGCCAUCAUUCAGUUGGGCACUUUAAAGAGACUGCCGGUGUUAAACCGGAGGAAGGUGGGGAUGACGUCAAGUCCUCAUGGCCUUUAUGCCCAGGGCUACACACGUGCUACAAUGGGUGGUACAAAGAGCAGCAAUACGGUGACGUGGAGCAAAUCUCAUAAAAUGCCUCCCAGUUCGGAUUGUAGUCUGCAACUCGACUACAUGAAGUUGGAAUCGCUAGUAAUCGUAGAUCAGCAUUGCUACGGUGAAUACGUUCCCGGGUCUU
rnacentral:rRNA from 1 species